GUGGGUCAGGCUUCCCCGGUCACAUGAGCUGCAUCCAAACCUCCAAAGUUAGAAAAUAAUGUCACACAAAAGGACUUAUUCUUCAGGGAGAGAGAAAGGGAGGAGCAAGACUUUAAAAGUCAAGAUAAAGGCUCAGAAUCAGUCCAGUACCGGUACCGGUCCACAUUCUCAGGUGAGAAAGACUCACCUGGUAUAAAUGACAUUUUUAUCUCUUGUAAUUACACCUGAGAGAAAAGAAUUUAUUCACAGAAUGUCAUAAAUAUGUGUGCAUGUUUUCCAUCUGCAGUAUAGCUGCACCGAUCGCAGCUUCAUGGCCGAUCUGGUCCUGACCUGCCGAUUCUGAUUGGAGGAUUUUUUAAAUGUAGCAAGAAAGUUGCUGAGUUGGUAACAGAGGGGGAUUAAUGUUACCUGAAAACGUUCAGACCUGAUCAAGUCAAACCUCUCAGGACAGCAGCUGACCUUUAACCCUUUGCAGAGGAAGAUAAGAUCAGUGGAUGAGAUCGGCUUCACAUGGAAGCAUCGGCCGAUCUCCGAUCCCCCAAAGCUCAGGAAAUCAGCGCCGAUAAAUGUGUCCAUAUGAUGCGGGCAUUCAGGAUAUGAUGUAAGCAACACUGCUAGAGAUGCAAUACGUUCAUAGCAGGUGAAUGAAGGAUCUGAUCAUCGGACUGCUGGUUGCAGUCAGUCCACAUUAGCAGAAAUAAAACGGCCCAAAACAAAUACAGGAAACAUUUCACUGUGACCAGCAGAGAGGAAGAACGACACCAAACCUGAGCAGGAGAAACGCUGAUCUGACUGACGAUCAAAUGAAACCUGCAGACAGUCAGUUAUCUGUCAGAUAGAAGCAACUUUCUCCCUCAGCAACAAACUGCAGGUCAAAGGUCAGACUGCCAUGAAUUACAGCGUGAGGUGGUGAACCCAGGUUGUAGAGCGAACAUUAUGAUUUAAUAAACCAAAAAAAAACACAAUAACCCAUGCAGCACAGAGGAGCGGGAGGCAAAAGCUAACACUGGUAGCAACAAGUAAUAUCAAAAAUAACACGAACAGAACUGACAGAACGGUACAAGAACCCGACAGAGACACAGAGGGUGAUCACAGAACGAGACACGGCUGGGAACAAUCCAGGGAAGACAGAACAACAUGGAGACAGAAACCCAAACUGAACACACAGAAACUCAAAUCAACACAGAAACUCAAAUCAACACAGAAACUCAAAUCAACACAGAAACCCAAUCCUGACACAGACAGAAGAUACUCACAGUCGUGCUGCUGCAUCAGGACCAGCUGUGUUCCUCUGGCGCAGAGCUGCAGAACUGAGCCUGGGUCGGAGGAGGAUGAGGAUGAAGAAGGCACAGGGUCCAGGCUCUGGGGGCGGGUCCAGGUUCUGGGGGCGGGUCCAGGCUCCGGGCUCCGUUCUGAACCCCCAGGGAUCCUGCAGCGGUCAGCUGGGUUGUUAAUGAGCCUGGACGGAAACAGCUCCAAACGACCUGAUUGGAUGGCUCUGUAGCGAGGCGUCAUGGCGGCUUCACUGCCUCGGAUCAGUCGGUUCCGUCUGCAGCAGCUUUUGGAUGUAAAUGCCAGAGAUCUUGAUCAGGUUUCCUCCUGCAGCCAGAUGUUUCUGCUUUCACUUCACUGUAGUUGGAAACAUGACAAAGAGUUUCUGUGGCCAGAGAGACUUGAUGCUGGCAGCCGCAGCACAUCUGUGGUUUCUGGAUAAAAGAAGUGAAAAGUGUGUUUUCUCACAUGAUGAUGAACACAACCUCAGAGGAAUGCUUCCCAGGAAAUUCUGGGGAAAACUGAGUUACAUGGUUCCAGAUGAGCCCACACAGGAGAGUGCUGCCAAGUUUUAACUGUUCCAUCUUACUUCGCCACCGUGACGAAGUGGAGGCUGAGUUUUCCUGCAGGGCUGGACGCAGCUGUCAGGACGACCAGCAGGGGGCAGAAGACCGAAUCAAUGAUUUAGCAAAGUGGAGCAGGGAGCAGACGGUGUCCAUGUUUCAGUCUGUGGGGUUAAUUGAAUCCAUCUGGAGUUCUCAGGAAUGUCGUAGCUCAUUUGUCCUGCUUUGGGUUUCAUGUUUUUGUUUGUCUGAAAUAAAAGCUGAGGAGGGAAAAAAGCCCCAGUCACUAGGCCUGAGAAUACCCUGGGGGUCAAAGAUCACGCGAGCAGAACGCCUUCAUGGGAAUAGAAAAUUCCUUACAGCUAAAUGUUUGGUUCAUUUUCUCAACCUAAUCAGAUGAACUUCCAUGUCCGUACAAGGAUACAUUUUCCCGACCGCGUCCUCGGUGUGGGUUAGGGAAACGUCCUGGUGGGAACAGGUUUCACAUCGGACUGGUUUCCAUGUGACACCGGGAUGAUGAGGGUUAUAUGAGUUCAUGUUGGUCUCAAGUUGACGUCAACAUGAUAAAAGUCGACAGCGUUGUCACGAAUUACAGGAACGAGAACCUGAACAUCAUCCCAGAGAGCAGCGAGGAACGGAUGAACUGAUGAGCUCAUUGCUGCACAAAUUGUUACACCAUCACAGUUCCAACAUAAUGACCUAAACUUAUUGAAUGGAUCCGCAGUUCACUGCUGCUGCUGCAGCUCUCUGACUGCAGGAUGAACCGACAUGAUGCCGUUCUCCGUCCUGCACUGAUGGAGAACAAACAGAGCUGGACGCCCACAUAGUUCAUCCAGCUGCUAGUUCUCAUUGGCCUGAAAUGAAGGAAUUUGUCAAAACAGAAGUUUAGGUCGUUUGGGGAGGGGCUUAAAGAAGUUGUUGAAGGAUGUGAAAGCUUAGCCCCACCCCCCAGGCACUGUUUGAAAGAUUUCAAAGUGGGCGGAGCCAAGAGACAGCGAGAGGCGUGGUCAGGAUGAGGAAACACAACUUCAGACCCUCAGGCACCAGCCAAACAUUUGGACCAGCUCGGAAGGAAAACCUGCUGUAAAACAUCAAAUGGCGCCCUCACGCGGCGGCAAAGAGUCACUGCAUCAGGACAAGAAACCUUCACAAAAAAAUUACACACAGUGUAUAACCGGACUAUUAUUAUUAUGAUUAUUAGUAGUAGUGGCAGUAUUUUUAAUAUUAUUAUUUACUUGUCCCUGUUCUCUUUCCUUCAUCACAA